CGGUGCGGCCCAGGCAAGAGGGUCCCUGGAAAUGAAACUGAAACUCGGAGCCGCGGCAGGAAGUUAGCGGCCCUAGGAUGAAGGCCAGGAGCCAACUGCAGCCAGGAACAACAGACUUUAGCAAGAGGAAAUGCAGUCAAUGGGAACCAAAGCUACAGGAUGCGUGUUGGGGACCACUUUGUGUGGUAUCGGAGACUGUAGCCCCUUGCAAGUGAGGCCUUGAAAGAGACCUGUAAGCCUUGACCGGUUUUCGGGAAUGCAGGAGGCAGGCAUGAACCAAGGCCAGCACUGAGGGUUUCAGUGGAAAAUCAGGCCUGAAGAAUGCAUUGUAUCCUUUGAAGCUUGCUUUGCUUUGUACAGCCCUGUUGGUAUAAACCAGAUGUUUUUAAGUUUAAAGCGUAAAAGAGUGAACUCCUUAUCUCAUGAAGCUUGCCUUAAAGACCCUCUGGCGUCAGCAGGCGCAGCAGACCCUGACCUGAGGCAGGUUUCUGUUUCUUCACUUUUAUCUAUAAAUCCCAUCUGUUCUCUGCAACAGCAGUCCUUUGACAUUGAUUGAUGAGCUAUGCAGGUAUGCUGUGUACCCCUACACGUACUGAUCUCAAUAAAAGCCCUUUCGGAGAAGGCUUUAGGGCAUUCUCUACGUAAGAGAUCGCAAGCUUCCUUCCCCCCAGAUUGUGUCUGGGCCAGCUUAUGUCACCCUUGACUGGGAGGACUCUGAGGGAUGGGGUUCCCCUCACCCCAGUAACAGUUUGCUAAUUCAUUGUUUGGUGGCGAUCGUACAGACCGUAACUCCUGUGAAUAAUGAGGACUGUACACUCAUAUGUGUAUCAGAAUGCUUCUGGAGAUGCUGGAUUUGAAGAAGCAUGAGGUUGAUUUCUGCCCUCCGUCUUAGAUCCUCUUUUUACGUAUAUCCUGUCUGUUCAAGGGAGAACUGUAGUUGGUUCAACUUGUCUCGAUGAACCAUGCACUUUUUGUUGUGUUUACCAAUCUUCCUCUUUGAUUUCUCACACAGUUAAGUGCUUGAUACAGAAUUAUAAAUCAUAAAUUGGCAUUCA